UACGUAGGGUGCGAGCGUUAAUCGGAAUUACUGGGCGUAAAGCGUGCGCAGGCGGUGAUGUAAGGCCGAUGUGAAAUCCCCGGGCUUAACCUGGGAACUGCAUUGGUGACUGCAUUGCUGGAGUAUGGCAGAGGGGGGUGGAAUUCCACGUGUAGCAGUGAAAUGCGUAGAGAUGUGGAGGAACACCGAUGGCGAAGGCGGCUCACUGGCCCGUUGACUGACGCUGAGGCACGAAAGCGUGGGGAGCAAACAGG
rnacentral:rRNA from 1 species